GAUAGUGUGGCCGAGUGGUCUAUGGCGCUGGUGUUAGGCACCAGUCUCUUCGGAGGCAAGGGUUCGAAUCCCUUCACUGUCA
rnacentral:tRNA from 1 species